rnacentral:lncRNA from 10 species
AGAGGCUCCAGCUGAAAGGUUCCAAAUCUAGGAGCUGGAGUCCAUGACUCACAGGAAGAGAAGAUUAAGACACAGAGAUACCAGAGAGGUCGUUCACAGAGGAAAGACCAUGUGAAGACGCAGUGAGAAGGUGGCCAUAUUCAAGCUGAGGAGAGAGACCUCAGAAGAAACCAAUACUGCCAACGCCUUGGUCUUGGACUUCCAGCCUCCAGAACUUGGACUCUACCUUCCUUCCCCUGAUUCUCAUGAGAAUCUGAUCUUCGCUAAAGUGGGCAAGGUCCUGGAUCAGAAGAUGCCUGACAAGAGGCCACUAUCAGCAGCAACAGCACAGUGGGGACAAACCUGAGACCUUGAUGGACCGUGGACACCAGCAGGAGAGACAGAGGAACUUGAAGUCUAAAUGGGCAGACAAGACCAACAUACACAAAGCAGAGAGUGGCACAAGAGCCAUGUCUGAUGCAACAGUGACUCAGGAGGAUCACUCUGACUCAGAAUGGCCAAGCAAAGAAUUGAAAUUGAGUAACGUUUAACAGAAGGUGUCUGAUUACAA